rnacentral:rRNA from 1 species
UACGGAGGGUGCGAGCGUUAAUCGGAAUUACUGGGCGUAAAGCGCACGCAGGCGGUUUUUUAAGUCAGAUGUGAAAGCCCGGGGCUCAACCUCGGAAUAGCAUUUGAAACUGGCAGACUAGAGUACUGUAGAGGGUGGUAGAAUUUCAGGUGUAGCGGUGAAAUGCGUAGAGAUCUGAAGGAAUACCGGUGGCGAAGGCGGCCCCCUGGACAGAUACUGACACUCAGAUGCGAAAGCGUGGGGAGCAAACAGG